AUUGAACGCUGGCGGAAUGCUUUACACAUGCAAGUCGAGCGGCAGCGCGGGGGCAACCCUGGCGGCGAGCGGCGAACGGGUGAGUAAUACAUCGGAACGUACCCUGUCGUGGGGGAUAACCAACCGAAAGGUUGGCUAAUACCGCAUACGACCUGAGGGUGAAAGCGGGGGAUCGCAAGACCUCGCGCGAUAGGAGCGGCCGAUGUCGGAUUAGCUAGUUGGUGAGGUAAAGGCUCACCAAGGCGACGAUCCGUAGCGGGUCUGAGAGGACGGCCCGCCACACUGGAACUGAGACACGGUCCAGACUCCUACGGGAGGCAGCAGUGGGGAAUUUUGGACAAUGGGGGCAACCCUGAUCCAGCCAUUCCGCGUGAGUGAAGAAGGCCUUCGGGUUGUAAAGCUCUUUCGGCAGGAACGAAACGCUCUGGGCUAAUACCCCGGGGUAAUGACGGUACCUGAAGAAGAAGCACCGGCUAACUACGUGCCAGCAGCCGCGGUAAUACGUAGGGUGCGAGCGUUAAUCGGAAUUACUGGGCGUAAAGCGUGCGCAGGCGGUUUUGUAAGACAGAUGUGAAAUCCCCGGGCUUAACCUGGGAACUGCGUUUGUGACUGCAAGACUUGAGUGCGGCAGAGGGGGGUGGAAUUCCACGUGUAGCAGUGAAAUGCGUAGAGAUGUGGAGGAACACCGAUGGCGAAGGCAGCCCCCUGGGUCGACACUGACGCUCAUGCACGAAGGCGUGGGUAGCAAACAGGAUUAGAUACCCUGGUAGUCCACGCCCUAAACGAUGCGAACUAGGUGUUGGAGAAGGAGACUUCUUUAGUACCGCAGCUAACGCGUGAAGUUCGCCGCCUGGGGAGUACGGUCGCAAGAUUA
rnacentral:rRNA from 1 species